AUGACCUGGGCUCUUCUCCUCCUCAGCUUCCUCAGCCAGGGCCCAGAGACCUGUGCUCAGAAUGUCCUGACUCAGCCUAUCACAGUGUCUGGGACUCUGGGACAGACAGUCACCGUCUCCUGUACCGGGACCAGCAAUGACAUUGGGAGAUAUAAUCAUAUCUCCUGGUAUCAGCAGCAGGAGGGCACAGUCCCCCAAACUCUGUUUUAUGGUCUCAAUAAGCGGCUAUCAGGGAUUCCUGAUCGCUUUUCUGACUCCAAGUCUGGCAACACAGCCACCCUGACCAUCUUUGGGCUCAAGCCUGAGGAUGAGGCUGAUUAUUACUGUAUCUCAUUUACAAGUACUAACACUUUCCACAGUAACUGCUUUAUGCAGGGAAGUGAGACAAAAACCUGUUCUCAACCUCCUCUGACUGCCACACUUCUGAAUCCAAGUUUUGUCGCUUCUAUUUUACUUUUAAAAAUUUAG